GGGGAUUUAGCUUAGCGGCAUAAGCGCCUGCCUUGCAAGCAGGAGUCGUGAGUUUGAUCCCCG
rnacentral:tRNA from 1 species